rnacentral:lncRNA from 1 species
CCAGGCAGGAAGUGACAUGGCAAGGAGAUUCAUAUCUAAGCGAGGAAACAGGAAGUAUGCCAUCUUUUCCCUCCGCUCCUGCUCCUGUGGCACAAUGUGAUCCACUGACAAGGAGGGACGCCAUUAAGGCGUCCGAUAAGAUAAGUCUUCUAACAAAUAUAGAUUUAUGAUAAUUAAGACUGAGCUAACAGAUGAGAAUCCUAGUCAUUGGCCAAGCAGCAUUGUACCUAAUACAAGUUUCUGUGUAUUCAUUUGGGCCUAACUUGGGCAGGCGGCUGGCUUAAAGCUCACAUGUGGCGGUGGGGCUCAGGCAGCUUUUAGCAGAAAGAUUUAUCAUAAUAGAAACAUUUCCUAUAGCUGUUUGAUCAUGUUUCUAUCCUUCUCUAUCUUAAUUUUUAUUUUGGGGGGCAGGAUUUCAUUAUGUAGCUUUGGUUGUCCUAUAACUCACUCUGUAGAAUAGGCUGGCCUUGAACUCACAGAGAUCCACCUGCCUCUGCCUAAGUGCUAGGAUUAAAGGCGUGCACCACCACACCUAGCUAUAAUAUACUUUUCUUAUUUCUUUAGGGAAUCUUUUUAAGGCCGAGCAAGAUGGCUCAGUAGAUGUGGUUUGAGGGGAAAUGGCCCUCAUAGGCCCACGGAGAGUAGAACUAGUAGGAGGUAGGGGGUAUGGCCCGGUUGUAGGUGUGGCCCUAUUGUAGUAGGUGUGGCCUUGUUGGAGGAAGUGUGUCACUGAGGGGAGGCUUUGAGGUUUUAGAAGCUCUGGCCCAGCCCAAUGGCUCCCUCUCUUCCUGCUGUCUGCAGAUCCUGAUGUGGAACUCUCAGCUACCUCUCCAGCACCUUGUCUGCCUGCGUGCCACCAUGCUUCCUGCCGUGACAAUAAUGGACUAAGCCUCUGAACUAUAAGCCAGCCCUAAGUAAAUUUUUUCCUUUAUAAAAGUUGCUGUGGUCCUGGGGUCUCUUCACAGAAUUAGAGCCCUGACUAAGGCAGCAGGGUUCGAUGCACCUUGUCCAGAUAAACAUUUCUCCAGUCUCAUCUUGGGGUGGUGAUGCAGAGAUGAAGCUCUCCUAAUGGAAGGCGAGAGAGGGCCUGUCUGCAGCCUGUCUGAUGUUUGUGGCCCCAGCAUGGCUCGUUCCUCAUGACCCCUGUAGGAUGCUGGUAGAAACAUCUGAAGCCCAGUCCUCGCUGCCUGAUGUCGGCCACAGGUCCUCAAGUGUUGCUGCCUGUACCACAUUUUCCCUUCCAGUGUUUAACACUUCAAAGGAGUCCCAGCAUAUCUUCCCCUGGGUUACAUCUGCUUUAACAGAAGGAAGACAAAACCAGAAUGCGGCAGACUCUCCCCGAACACCGGUACAGAUCUGCCUCAGAUCCAUGUCACCUGCCGGCGAAGUGCUUGAGAGACACACUCACUGAGUAGUUCAAGCUCCCUGGUUGAAGUUUAAGGCAGGCUGGCUGAGAGUUCAAGACCAGCCGAGUGAUUUGCUGUUCUAAACAACAGUAAACUCCAACCCUUGUGUGCUGACAAAUUUGAGGCUUCAAGCUGGUUGGAUGAUGCUCUCACAGAGCUCUGUCUUCUGUCAAAGGGCACACAGGUGGGUAAGCGCCCAUCUUUGGCUGACUUGAUAGUCUCCUUCCCUCCAUUUACCUGACUUACAAACUGUCUCCCCUUUCCCACUCAGUGAGCCUCUCAGUUCUACCUUAACACCGUGUUUUACAUCACCUUCAACUACUGUCACCACCUCCUAAGAGGAUUUCUGGCUAGGUGACUCUCCAUUCUAAUCCAUUCCUUAUCUUCUUAA